UUCACGAGACAGUGUAGCUGCAGCGUUUCAGGGAUGAUGGAAAAUCACAACACACACCUGGCACCAGGCUUCACCCUUAAAGACCUUGUUCCAGCACCAGCGAAUGUGGCCGCCUUCCGGGGUCUGUUGGGACCCGGUGGCUUCAACGGUCUUUACCAAGUGUCCUUCCAGCAGUGGAACCGCUUUUCCCCGUGUGGCCCGAGAACCUCCCGGACCCCACUCUGUUCCUGGGGAUUCGUCCCUCCCACCAGAGCACCGCCAGUGGGGUAUACAGAGCCGUGCCAGCUGGGACGUUGCCCAUCUUCCUUCUCUAUCUCCCUUUGGCAUUUGGACAAAAAUCCUUGCCUAAUUGCUGCUACCUGUUGGCUGGUUUUCAACAUAUGGAUAUCAACAUGCCUUCCUGGACCACAGUAAAUAAACAAGACACUGUUACUCUUGAUGAAGAGUUCCUGAGAAGUGGUUUUACAUGUAGAUUACUGGGACUCUCAGAUACAACGGAUGGCAGGGUGUCAUCAUAGACUGAGUUUUUACGUUGGGCAAGGGAUGAAUCACUCUGAUCUCAUCACUGGAAUUUACUUUUUACCUUUCUUAAAUUUAGCUCUACAAAAAUUUCCUUCUCAUCAACUAUGGGUUCUGUUUCAAUAACAAGCUCUUGCAGUCCUUCAAUAACAACAAGUCUCUGCAUUGUGAGAAGGUCUUGUAGUUAGACUUUCUUUGCUGAUGCGUGCAAGGAAAGCUUCAACAUUGCUAUUCUUUGAAAAGUGUGGUAGAGAUUUCUAGUACUAAGUAAUCUCCAGGUUUCUUCCCCCUGUGGACAUGUGAGAGGAAUCCUUUUCCUUGCCCCUUGCACGUGACUAGUUCUGGCCAAUGGGAUAUGAGUAAAAGCGAUGUGUGAUUUUCCAGCUGAAGCAUUUAUCUGUUAGUGUGAGACACUCUAUUGCUAAGAUAUGUGUCUAGGAGCAGACUUUAUGGGUUGUGUUGCUAUGUAUGUCUUCAACUUUAUUAUAUAAUGUCUGUUUUGCUUGCAAUAAUUUAUACUUUGGCCAAGGUGAUAAGAAAGAACCCCAUUUAUCCACAUCAUUACUCAAUUUGUAAAUAAUUAACAAAAUUUUGCAGUCUAUUGGCUAUACAGUGGUCUGUUUUUGGUAUAAAAUUGCAUUUCCACGAUUAGUAGUGAAACUGACAAUCCUUUCAUAUAUUUACUGGCCAUUUGGGCUUCAUUUUCUUUGGACCGUUCCUUUCUGUAGGGAUCAUGCCUCAUUUAUAAUUUCUUUAAGUAUUCUCUCUAUAUCUUGGUAACUGUGCACAUUCAGAAUCUUGCUUUCACAAGAAUGACGUCAGAAAACUUGCAGCUAGUGUUCAGCGUAUAACCUAGAUUCUUCCAAUUGGACGGGCCCAUCUAAGGCUUAAUUUACAAGGGAGAAAUGUGAGUGGUAUCUUUAGGGUAACAGUAGCUGCUGUAUCAAUCUCAUUCUCGGCACUGAAACGAUAAUACAUUUACUUCUCACUUAUUAUCAAAGUCUGAUGUGGGAGUUCCUGGUGGAGCAGCCUUCCAUGUGGUCUCUCAGGGACUUAGGCAGUGGAAGAGGUGAGAGAGGACGAUCUAAGGAGGUUUUUACAGACUUUUCCUGGAGACGGUACCCUUCUUGUCUACCUACAUUCUAUUGGCCACAAUUCAGGCACAUGCCACACCUAACAGCAACAGAAAUAUAAUCUAGUCAUGAAUUUUGGUGAAUGCACAGUAGUUCUGCUCCAUGGUGCAAUGAUCUUUUGAUUAGUGUGGUGACAGUUGGCUGGUUUCUUGGGGGAAAGCGAUAGUGGAGUUUUUUAAAUCUCAGAGCAGUGUGGCAAUGGUACUUCAACAGAAGACUCCACAACGUAGUUGUGUGUUCUUCCUGCUCAAGUAGCUUCAGCACUUGGCCUUCUGUCCCUCCUAGGAAUUCUGCUGGCUGUCUACUAUCCUUCAGCAAGGCCCUUGACUGCUUGGACUAGCCUGUGUGGAUUUCAUGAAUUGUAGAUAAGAAUCCUGAGUGUUGUAGUUUCUUACUGUCUUUUGCUUAUUUGUAUUUAUCUUUGAGAUGGGGACUCAGAGAGUAUCUCUACUGAAAUAAGUAAUAGAGUUUACUUCUUUCUGCACAGUAGCCUGUAUGCCUUACUUGUGUUAAUAACAAACCUAUGGCCACGUGUGCAAAAUCUUGUUCACAAUGGACCCAUUUUGUAAGUUUCAAGCCCAAAGACACCUAAACUAAACUAAAUAAGAACCUCCCUAAAUUAAAUGAGAGCAAGGUAAAUAUUUCUAAUUCUUUUUUUCUUUUUCAUAAUUCUUCUGAAGUUGAGGUAGGACCGUCUCAUUUGGAAUCUCAGCAUUGCCACUAAUGGUGAGAGGUGGUGUUGAGAGUGCAAUCCUAACCCUUGAUGGGGUGCUGGCCUCUCUGCUUCCCUCCCUGUCGGGAGUCCUUCAGGCUGGGUAGGGAGGCUGUGACAAAUAGCUGGGAAUCUGGUUGUGUGAUCUUAGAAAUCAACCAGGUAGAGAAUCAAGACAGACUAAGAGAUCAUGAUUAAUCCUUUAUAGAUUCAUGGCUAAUGAGAGAGGCAAGAAUUGAGAAGUUUUAGGGUAGUGUGCAAAUCCCCUGAUAAUUGAGCCUCUUCAAAUACCAGUUUCUCCACUUUUUGGUUCAUAUUGGACUUAAAUGAUAUCCAAGGGCGACCAGUUUAAUAAUGCCACUAUCUAAUUCUUUCAGUUUAAAAUUAGCUAGGUCUCAAUUUCAUCAUACGUAAAAAUGAAGGGUUUCUUCCAGUUGCCAUUUGAUUUGAUUUCAUUAGCAGAUUUUCACUGAUUAUUAUUUUUAGUUGCUUUCAAUAUUCUCCACCAGAUGGCUCUAGUCUCUCAAUGCAAACUCCUAUCCACAGUCUCCUUUUGAGCCAGACUUGUUUUUGUGGGUUAUUGUUCUCUACAUGCUCAGCAUGCUCAACUUCUACUCUUCUCCAAGUUAGGAGAAAAAAAUAAAAAAAAUUAUUUAUUUUGAGAGAGAUAGAGGGAGAGAGUGCACGUGCCUGUGCACGCGAGUUGCGGGGGGCAGUCGGAGAGAGAAAAUCCCAAGUAGGUUCCUGGCUGUCAGGAUGGAGCCCAUUGUUGGGCUCCAUCCCAUGAACUGUUAGAUCAUGAUCAGAGCUGAAACCAAGAGUCGGACACUUAAACGACUGAGCCAUCUAGGCGACCCUCUUCUCCAAGUUUUUAAACAAAACCACUUAAUAGGUUUGAAAGCAGCUUCUUCUUCCUAUAUUCCAUAGCACAUUACUCUCCUUGCUUAAACCGUAGAUCAAGACUUAAAGAAUAAUCUGAUAGAUACCAAGCUAUUCUCUACCAUAAUCCCUACAGUGGGUUGUAGCCAAGCCUAUUGGGCCACACCUGAAGCUGGCCCAUGGGUACUGUUGGAAAUAGAGUGCAGAUAUAGGCAACCAGGCAGCCAAAGUGUCCCCAUAUGGUUUAGGAAGCUCCUAUGAAAGUCAGUGACUUAUUCUGGGUUCUUCUAUCUUGGUGGAUUCCUUAUUCUACUUGACCUGACGAAACCACUCAAUCCUGGGGCCUCACACAGAGUGUGAGGAAUUAGGAAGGCAACAGAAAGUGUUCUACUCAUCUGUACCUUUAUUCUUGUGUAUAUUCUUUUCAUUGCCUGUCAGUUAGUUGGGUAGCAAACAGAUGUGAAAGCAACCUUAAGGCCAGUCUGAAUCAUCUUUCUGCAAAUUGUUGAAUUCAGAUCCAGCUCAAUCUCUAAUUCAAUUCCGUUUCCUAAAAAUAAUCCUGACAUCAUAGAUAUAUCUGUAUAUAUAUAUGUGUAAUAAGUGAUUGGAAAAUUGAGUUUUAUGCUGGUAUGGUACUCAGUUUGGAACAAUGAAAAGACUCAUUUUUCCAUCCCUGGGUUAUGCUGUAUUUGAAGAUCUAGAUCCAUUAGGGGUAAGGUUAGUUGGCAGAAGAAUGUUGGGGAGUAGAAGAGAAGGAAGAGGUUGGAGACUUGGCAUAUGCAUUUAUUCAUUCAGCAGAUAUUUGUCACUGACAUGCACCAGCCACUUUUCUAGAUAUUGGGUAGAUAGUAGCAAGUAGGCUUGGCAAGGAUCCUCCUCGUAUAGAAUUGAUGUUCUUCUGAGGGACGCAGAAAACCGACACAUACUCAGUAAAUCCAUUGGUUUCAGAGAGUCAUCAGUGCUAUGAAGAAGACAUAUGAUAGGGCUGUGGGACACAGGAAUGAGGUGUGAUUUGAGCUGAGGGACUGGAAGCUUGAGAGGCAGUGGCUAAGCUCCCCCAGGGCUAGAAAGAGGACUGUGAGUUCCACAAACAGGGAAGAGCCAAACUUAUCUGAAUUCAGCAUCUCAGCGAUGGAAAGACCUACAAAGUCAAUGGCUGCUAGACUGUCUGAAUACUGGUUAUUAAGGGAUUCUCCCUCAUGGUUGAACUCAGCAUGGAGGAGCGAAUAAAACUGCCUACCCUUGAAUACAUGUAGUAUGUAUAUCCUGGAUUGGGAGCCAAGCAGUGUAUAUCACCUUGGGGUGAUGAUCAGGAACUUCUGAUUAUUUGGAUCCUAUAAGCUUCAUAUAAUAGACACUAGACUUUUCAUCACCUUUGGAAAGUAAGCUCUAAUUAGAUUUAAUUAAAAAAAAAAAGGCAUUUCUUAUAUCCCCAACAUAUAUAAGUUGGUUCUUAUAGCCCCAGAACCAACUACACAUGUGUUACCUAUAAUUGCCUGCCUUGUUUUUCCUAUGAGAACAUCAGUGCCUUGAGGUCAGGCACUUGACCUCAUACACAGAAAGUUCUGGUGACUUGAAAUCUAACAUUCGGUAGCCAUUUCAACAACAAAAAAAGCUUUUUUAAAAAGUUUAUUUAUUUAUUUUGAGAAAGAGAGAGAGAGGCAGAGAGAGAGGGAGAGAGAGAAUC